rnacentral:lncRNA from 1 species
AGAAGUCAACACUCUCAGGAAGAAUUCGAAGAAAUGUGGAGGAAGCAUUAAAGGAAAGGAAACAAGAGCAAGAAAAAUGGAGAGUAACCAGGAUAAUGAGAUUAAAAAAAUUACACUGUGGGAGAUAUGGUUGAAAGAAAUGACAAUGUUUAACCUAGAGAGAAGGAAUGUGAUAACUUUCUUCAAAUAUUUUUAGUACUGUCACAUAUGGGUAACCAACCAUCUUCAGUCUGUAUGUCUCUCCAAUGCAUCCUGAAUCACUGGGAUUCCUUUGAAAAGAGAAAAUCAACCUUCUUCUUCCUGUUUCCUCCUCUGUCCUCUCUUCAUGGAUGAAUAAUCAUGUCUCCAUACCACAGGACAUUUCCCUCUGUGAAAAGUUUAAUUUCUGCAUUAAACCACUUGGCUUAAAAAAAAAUGAACUGGGAAGACAUUAUAACUCACAUUCCCCUCUGUGAAAAGUUUAAUUUCCAUAAACCUUAAAUCACUUGACUUAAAAAAAAAAUGAACUGGGAAAACUCUAACUGAGCAAUCUCUUGAGGAAGGACAAUGUUUACAGUAUGCAAAUAACCUAUUUGUCUGCUCCCCCUUUACGGAACUCCAGGGUCAAAGGGCUUCAUAGCUCGGGGGAAGGGAACCCAGAAGCCUGACAUGCUGGCAAACGAGUAAAAGUUUUUUACCCAUCAGACUUCUGGCUUUUCUCUCUCUCUGUGCAAACUGUUUGAAUGAAUGAUAAAAAUCACUGUUUAUAUACUCUGAAACGUUGUGAUUAAUGGAAAAAGGAUUUGUGAGGUGAGUCUUAAGCUAUAGAGAAUCUGUGAUACUUUGUGUUAAGAAUUUCUCUUUCUGUAUCUUUCUAUCAGAAAGAGGGGUACCUUAGGAUAAAAUGUGGGUCUAGGCCCAAAUGUCCAACAAUGAUAGACUGGGUUAAGAAAAUGUGGCACA